UUGAACGCUGGCGGCAUGCUUUACACAUGCAAGUCGAACGGUAACAGGCCUUCGGGUGCUGACGAGUGGCGAACGGGUGAGUAAUGCAUCGGAACGUACCCAGAGGUGGGGGAUAACGCAGCGAAAGCUGUGCUAAUACCGCAUGUGAUCUGAGGAUGAAAGCGGGGGACCGAGCAGCAAUGUUUGGCCUCGCGCCUUUGGAGCGGCCGAUGUCGGAUUAGCUAGUUGGUGGGGUAAAGGCCUACCAAGGCGACGAUCCGUAGCUGGUCUGAGAGGACGACCAGCCAAACUGGGACUGAGACACGGCCCAGACUCCUACGGGAGGCAGCAGUGGGGAAUUUUGGACAAUGGGCGCAAGCCUGAUCCAGCAAUGCCGCGUGCGGGAAGAAGGCCUUCGGGUUGUAAACCGCUUUUGGCAGGAACGAAACGGUGUCCGCUAAUACCGGGCGCUAAUGACGGUACCUGCAGAAUAAGCACCGGCUAACUACGUG
rnacentral:rRNA from 1 species